rnacentral:misc_RNA from 1 species
UACGGAGGGUGCAAGCGUUGUUCGGAAUCACUGGGCGUAAAGCGGGUGUAGGCGGCCGGCCGUGUCGAGUGUGAAAGCCCUCGGCUCAACCGAGGAAGUGCGCUCGAAACUGGCUGGCUUGAGUACGGGAGAGGAAGGCGGAAUUCCGGGUGUAGAGGUGAAAUUCGUAGAUAUCCGGAGGAACACCAGUGGCGAAGGCGGCCUUCUGGACCGAUACUGACGCUGAGACCCGAAAGCGUGGGGAGCAAACAGG